CUCGGGACGGAGCCCGUGGAUCGGCCGGGGCUCAGCGCUUGUCGCCGCGGGCCCAGCAGCCUCCGAGGGGCGCCGGGAGCCAGCCUGUCAAGAACGCGUCCCGUAAAGCUGCGCAUUUCGGGCUCCGGGCGAGGUGAUUAAUGCGCUCGGUAUAGCCGAGACAACCGUCUAAUUUGUUCCCCCCCUCUUUUCAGGCUCCAGCGUGCUUGUCGAGCAGAACAAAUCUCAGAUAAAGCGCACAAAGUGUGUCAUCAAGGCGCCCGCGCACACACGCACGCACGCGCACACAAACACGCACGUACGUGUGACCAAGGCACACAGUAAACGCACACAUGCACGCGCACGCACGGAGGACACACACACGCCCACGAGGCGAACGAAUAUAUCGAGUUUCUAUUUUGACUCUGUCGAACUUUUCGAAGCGCCCUUUCUGAUAGCGUAAAAAGUUUGUGCGCGAUCUAUUUCACUAAAUAGCAGCGAGGUCACUGGGAACUGACCAUACUAUUGACGCCAACUUGACGUUUUUUCUGCUAAACUUAAUGACUUUUUUUUUUUUUUUGUAGUGUCUGAGGGGAGAAACCCGCCUUUCGCGCCUGACCGGGUCUUUGCCAGGUGAGAUAAUGAUAGCUUUCUUCUCUUUUCUUCUUCUUUUUUUGGUGACGAAGCAGUUUAUCCUAUUAUAGCACAGAUGGGACUUCAAUUGGCGAAAGAACGCUGCUCAUCGGGGCCUUGAAAGGGUGCGGUGAUUUCGCCUACACUCUUCAACAUAGCCAUGAUUGGACUAGCUAAAAAACUCCAAGAUAUCCUCGACGUCCGUCAUUCCCUAUACGCGGAUGAUAUAACGAUAUGGAUAACCAAGGGCAACUUGGGAGAGAAGGAGGAAAAGCUCCAACGGGCAGCCAAUAUAAUAGAAAACUAUACGCAACAAAGAGGACUGCAGUGCUCUGCGGAGAAGUCAGAACUCAUUCGCCUCACAAAAACCAAAAAACAAAGAACUGACCCGAGACUCAAACUCGAGAUCAGGCUGGAAGGGAAAAUUAUUCCUGAGAGGUCAAUAGUAAGAGUGUUGGGGAUGUGGCUGCAAUCUAAUGUCAGAUGUUUACACACUUUAAACACGAUCAGAAAAACAACGCAACAAAUUAACCGGAUGACAGCCCGUGUGGCUCAUAAUCGGACAGGAAUGGGGGAACAAGACACCCUCAGACUGGUGAAAAGCCUGGUCAUUAGCAGACUAAUGUGCUCCCUACCUUACCAUGCCAUGAACAGGGAGGAAGAAGAAAAGGCUGAUAAAAUAAUAAGGAUGGCAUAUAAGACAGCCCUAAGGUUGCCACGCAACACUUCAAAUGAGAAGCUUCUAGCCCUGGCCUCCACAAUACAUUUCAUGAGCUGGCUGAAGCCCAACUCAUAGCGCAAAGGACUCGAUUGGCGCAAACGACAAUCGGCAGAGCUCUUCUUCAAAGAAUCGGCCUUGGAGAAUGCAUACAAAUAUACCAAAACGCCAAAAGUCUACCCUGCCAGAUUAGAGCUUUGUAUGGGGUAUCAUCAAUACCACAAAACAUUGAUCCGACAUUACACGCAGGAAGGAGCAAAGCUAGAGCAGAAUACAUAGACAAAACAACAAAAUACUUGGACACUGCACGAUUCACGGAUGCUUCACCAUAUCGGGCCAACGCAAAGAACAUGGUGGCAGUUGUCGUAAACCGUAAAGGGAAAAUCACGGCCUGUGCUUCGGUUUCCCGAGCAACCAUUUUAGAAGCCGAAGAGAUAGCCAUCGCCUUAGCUAUAAGGGAAGGCAUAGAGCGCAAUGCUCCACUAAAAAUAAUCACAGAUUCUCAGGCCGCAUGUAGGAACUAUCAGAGGGGACGAAUCGGCCCGAGGGCACGCCGGAUACUUACCGAAAUCAACAGCGACCUUGACAUCAAAUAUACCCAAACGAUAACAUGGGCCCCGGGACACGAGGGUGUUACUGGGAACCUCCAUGCAGAUGAGGCGGCUCGAGGUUUCACUAAUUGCCGAGCUGCCCAUGGCAACAUGGUGGAGGACCCGACACCCAUCGAUCCAAGUUAUAAAGCGAUCUUGCAACACUACAGGGAAUUCAGAAGGCUCUACCCAGCCCCGCAUCGGAACCUUUCAGCCGCGGACUCAGCGACGUUACGCAGGCUCCAAACGGACACAUACAUAAACCUACAUAAAUUGCACAUAUACUACCCAACAGCAUACAAGGACAUAUGCCCGUGGUGUGGGAGCACACCAACGCUCUACCACAUCACAUGGGAGUGCACAGCUCACUCAGAAGAACAAGAAGAUAAUAACACGAGAGCGAGGUGGGAGGCAUUGCUAUCCAGCUCCGCCCUCGGUGAUCAGCUCAGGCUCGUCCGGAGGACAGAAAGGAUGGCGAGGGCCAGCGGUGCCUUGGAAUAGGGGCCCGACGACACGACGUUAUGCCGUUUUAGGGGCAACGAAGUUCUUUCUACCAAUAAAGUUUUGUUCUUCUUGUU